GACGAACGCUGGCGGCGUGCUUAACACAUGCAAGUCGAGCGAAGCGCUUAAGUUUGAUUCUUCGGAUGAAGACUUUUGUGACUGAGCGGCGGACGGGUGAGUAACGCGUGGGUAACCUGCCUCAUACAGGGGGAUAACAGUUAGAAAUGGCUGCUAAUACCGCAUAAGACCACAGUACUGCAUGGUACAGUGGUAAAAACUCCGGUGGUAUGAGAUGGACCCGCGUCUGAUUAGGUAGUUGGUGAGGUAACGGCCCACCAAGGCGACGAUCGGUAGCCGGACUGAGAGGUUGAACGGCCACAUUGGGACUGAGACACGGCCCAG
rnacentral:rRNA from 1 species